rnacentral:misc_RNA from 1 species
UCCAGUUAAUCACCGGCAGUCUUCCUAGAGUGCCCACCAUGACGUGAUGGCAACUAAGAAUAAAGGUUGCGCUCGUUGCGGGACUUAACCCAACACUUCACAGCACGAGCUGACGACAGCCAUGCAGCACCUGUGUAAUCGUCUCUUGCGAGAGGACUUACUUUCAUAAGCUUGCAACUACAUGUCAAGCCUGGGUAAGGUUCUUCGCGUAGCCUCGAAUUAAACCACAUGCUCCACCGCUUGUGCGGGUCCCCGUCAAUUUCUUUGAGUUUCAGUCUUGCGACCGUACUCCCCAGGUGGUGGAUUUAAUGCGUUAGCUGCGGCGCUGGGGGGAUCGACACCCCCAACACCUAAUCCACAUCGUUUACGGCAAGGACUAC